rnacentral:rRNA from 1 species
CCAAUAGCGUAUAUUAAAGUUGUUGCAGUUAAAAAGCUCGUAGUUGAAUUUCGGGAUCAAUAUGUCGGUCGUGCCUCGGUACGUACUGGCAUCAUUGGUUUCUCCUUUCUGAUGAACCAUGAUGCCAUUAAUUUGGUGUUAUGGGGAAUCAGGACUGUUACUUUGAAAAAAUUAGAGUGUUUAAAGCAGGCUCACGCUUGAAUACAUUAGCAUGGAAUAAUGAAAUAGGACGUUUGAUUCUAUUUUGUUGGUUUCUAGGAUCGACGUAAUGAUUAAUAGGGAUAGUUGGGGGCAUUAGUAUUCAAUUGUCAGAGGUGAAAUUCUUGGAUUUAUUGAAGACUAACUACUGCGAAAGCAUUUGCCAAGGAUGUUUUCAUUAAUCAAGAACGAAAGUUAGGGGAUCGAAGACGAUCAGAUACCGUCGUAGUCUUAACCAUAAACUAUGCCGACUAGGGAUCGGAUGAUGUUAAUUUUUUAAUGACUCAUUCGGCGCCUUACG